rnacentral:rRNA from 1 species
GUGGUGGGGUAAGGGUGUGGUGAAAGCUCGGGGCUCAACCUGGGAAUGGCAUUGGAAACUGGCUGACUGGAGUGCGGUAGAGGGUAGUGGAAUGCCCGGUGUAGCAGUGAAAUGCGUAGAUAUCGGGAGGAACAUCCGUGGCGAAGGCGACUACCUGGACCAGCACUGACACUGAGGCACGAAAGCGUGGGGAGCAAACA